GUAGAAAGCCUAACCAAAGUCUA
rnacentral:siRNA from 1 species